GAUGAACGCUGGCGGCGUGCCUAAUACAUGCAAGUCGAGCGAACAGACGAGGAGCUUGCUCCGCUGACGUUAGCGGCGGGCGGGUGAGUAACACGUGGAUAACCUACCUAUAAGACUGGGAUAACUUCGGGAAACCGGAGCUAAUACCGGAUAAUAUAUUGAACCGCAUGGUUCAAUAGUGAAAGACGGUUUUGCUGUCACUUAUAGAUGGAUCCGCGCCGCAUUAGCUAGUUGGUAAGGUAACGGCUUACCAAGGCAACGAUGCGUAGCCGACCUGAGAGGGUGAUAGGCCACACUGGAACUGAGACACGGUCCAGACUACUACGGGAGGCAGCAGUAGGGAAUCUUACGCAAUGGGCGAAAGCCUGACGGAGCAACGCCGCGUGAGUGAUGAAGGUCUUCGGAUCGUAAAACUCUGUUAUUAGGGAAGAACAAAUGUGUAAGUAACUAUGCACGUCUUGACGGUACCUAAUCAGAAAGCCACGGCUAACUACGUG
rnacentral:rRNA from 1 species